GGCCGCGGUAUCCUAACCGUGCAAAGGUAGCGUAAUCACUUGUUCUCUAAAUAAGGACUAGUAUGAACGGCACCAUGAGGAUUGCAUUGUCUCUCAUAAUAAAUCGAUGAAACUGAUCUUCCAGUACAAAAGCUGGAAUAAAACCAUAAGACGAGAAGACCCUGUGGAGCUUAACAGUUUUCAGUUGGGGCGACUAUGGAGAAAAACUAAACCUCCAGACAGAUCCAAUAUAAUUGACUAAUGAACCAAGUUACCCCAGGGAUAACAGCGCAAUCUUCUUUUAGAGUCCCUAUCGACAAGAAGGUUUACGACCUCGAUGUUGGAUCCGGAUAUCCAAAUAGUGCAGCCGCUAUUAAUGGUUCGUUUGUUCAACGACUAAUAUCCUACGUGAUCU
rnacentral:rRNA from 1 species